rnacentral:tRNA from 1 species
GUGCUUGUGGUGUAGUGGUUAUCACAUCCGCCUAACACGCGGUAGGCUCCAGGUUUGAUCCCUGGCAGGCACA